AACGAACGCUGGCGGCGUGCCUAACACAUGCAAGUCGAGCGAGAAAGUUCCUUCGGGAAUGAGUAAAGCGGCGAACGGGUGAGUAACACGUAGGUAACCUGCCCUCGAGAUCGGGACAACCUGCCGAAAGGUGGGCUAAUACCGGAUAAGACCACGACUCCCACGGGUGUUGCGGUCAAAGGUGGCCACUUCAUGAAAGCUACCACUUGAGGAUGGGCCUGCGCGUCAUUAGCUUGUUGGCGGGGUAACGGCCCACCAAGGCAACGAUGACUAGCUGAUCUGAGAGGAUGAUCAGCCACACUGGAACUGAAACACGGUCCAGACUCCUACGGGAGGCAGCAGUGGGGAAUAUUGCGCAAUGGGGGAAACCCUGACGCAGCAACGCCGCGUGAGUGACGAAGGCCUUCGGGUUGUAAA
rnacentral:rRNA from 1 species